CCUUUGUUCAUCCUCACCCAGACAGAACAUUCCUGAGACAUUCUCUUAGGUUUACCAUCAGACAGACUGCUUUACUUAUCUGCCCACAUCUUCAUCCUAAAAGAGUAACCUUCUCUUGGUCGGCCUCAGAGGAAAUACCCGCAUGAAGAUCUACAGAAGUCCCCACCAGCACUGAGCUCCCUGAGACAUUGCUUUGGAAGAUAUCCCCAGUGUACUCCAUUGCUUGUGCAAGCAAUCAACCUCUUCUUCACCUGCUUCUGCCUUGGCUGUGCUUCUCAGCUCCACGCUCACCAAGAGAUGAACCCACUCAGUUCAGUUACAAGGCUUUCAAAAUGCGUCAGCUACUGCAUCUACCUCCACCCUCCAGGGGUCAAAGAAUUUACAUACCAAAGCUGACAGCUUUGAGGAAAAGAGAUGAAGAGCUCGUUAAGAUCUACAAAACCGAAGAUAAAAGGAAAACACUGAGGAAGAUGGCUUGAUGUGGAAGAGGAAGAAUUUCUUUUCAGAAUAAAAAGCUUAAUUGAAAGAGAACUGGCCUUCAAGUCCAGGAUCUCUUCAUUUCCAAUUUAGCUGUAUGUGACACCGGCGAAGGCACUUGAGAUAAUAUGUGUGGCUGUGCCUUCUGUAUUGUAAACUAGUAAACUGUACAGCAAUUUAAAUGUAAACUGUUGCCAUUUUUAAAUUGGCCCUUUUUGAAAAGACACACACACACAUUCUGACCCUGGGCCUCACCUGCGUGCAGCUCUAUAGUUCUUCCAAGGCAGUCGGUGGGGAGGGCUUUACAUUGUCCCAGAUUAGUCUUUUUGUUUCUUUGUUUCUGAGGAAGAUUCUGCCUGAGCCAACAUCUGUUGCCAAUCUUCCUCUAUUUUGUAUGUGAGUUGCUGCCACAGCAUGGCCACUGAUGAGUCUGAUGAGUGGUGUAGGUCCACACCUGGGAACUGAACGUGGACCGCCAAAGUGGAGCAUGCUUAACCGAACCACCAGACCACAGGCUGCCCCCUGCCCCCCCCCCCCGUUUUUUUAUGUUUUCUACUCCCUCUGGGCUAAAAACAAAAAGGAAAAAGCCACCUUGUCAGUUUGUUAAUGUCAUAUGUAACCUCUUGGGAAGUCUCGGCCGUGCUUUGAAGGAGGGGAGUGGGAGGGAGGCCACACUCACCCAGCCUGACCUCCCUCGGGUUGUGACAUCAGAGCUCUGUUUAUGUAGCUAAAGGACUAUGUAGGUGGGGACCACAUGGAUGAUCCAGGAGGCUGCACCACAUCCCCUGCUCCGUUUGUUUCCUGAUAGCUUGUCAGCUGCUCUAAGCAGCAGAGAGAAGAAAUCUCUAAGGUUCUUUGUCACUUGGUGCCGUCUGUUUCCUUUCUCAUUUCUUUCCUGAAAACUUUUUUCAAUAAACACUAUGAAACAGACACUAGAG
ensembl:lncRNA